UUUUUUUUUUUUUUUUUUUGGGGUUUUCUCCACAUAGUUUACUUUAGAUUCUUUGAGGGUUUUGCUUGAAUGAUUCAUACACUUAAUUUUCUCUCUUGAAUAAGCCAUUCUCGUUCUCCGUUUCCUCUGUGGUUUAGUCAAAAUGCCUUUUUGUUUGAUUCUUUCUCAGAUUGCUGAAUAUUUAGCGUUCACAACCUUAUGUUCUUGCUUUCUAGGGUUUUGGAUUUUUGGAACUCUCAUUUGAGUAUUUUGAUACUUAUUUGACAAAUAGUGAUAGAUUUGGGGCUCAGUAGAUCCUUAGAAUUUGAUAUUUGAUUCUCUUAUAGUUUGAUCGGGAAAAAAAAAAAGCCCCCCCCCUUUUUUUUUUCCCUUUUUUGUAGUUAUAGUUUGGUUGAUCUCUUAGGUUCUAGCUCUGUCUGUGUUGCUUGUUUGUAAUGGCGGUAUGUGAGACAUUGAUGUUACUUCCAACAUUUCAAUCACUCGUUGGAGACUUCAACCUGGUUCGGCGACGACAACAAUCCACGAUUGCUUGCUUAUUCCAUCCUAAGUACAAGCACUCCAAGUCCAAAUCAUAUCACAAAAUUGGAAAAUCUAUUGCAAUACAUGAUGGCCCUGUUUGAUUCACAACACUAAUAGUGAAGUAUUAAUAAUCCUAUCAAAUUAGUGUGGUAUUAACUAUCCCAUCUCUACCCCAUUACUAAUAAUCCUACAAAUUUGUUCGAUUAAUUAUCCAUUGGAUUAAUAAUCAAAAACCAAAAUGUCAAAACAAACAUAGGAUGAUUGGGCCCACGGAUUAAUAAUCCCAAUCCCAUGCUUUAAUCCUUCCAAUCAAACAUGCCAUAUGGAUCUUGAUCAGUUUCUGGCUUCCUUAGUCAAGAUAAUGUGAAAGUCGGCAGUCUUGUGGUCAAAGAUCAAGUGUUCAUGGAGGCUACAAAAGAAGGAUCUCUUUUAUUUGUAGUGGCAAAGUUUGAUGGACUACUUGGGUUCGGCUUCCAGGGAAUUUCAGUUGGGGUUGUGGUGCCACUCUGUGAGAAGACAAGGAUGUUACUGACAAGUGCUGCAUUUGUCCAUUUGAAGAAAUCUGACUUUUCUAAGCACACAUGGAACCUUUCUCCUGCAAGUCCUUCUAUUUUGCUUUCAGGACUUGCUGUUUGAUGUCACUUUUCCAGCCCUUCCAUGUUCUAUACUCAGUCUUGAUGCCAUGGAUAUCAGCGGGGAGCAACAUCUAGACGUUAAACACGACAUUGUCAAGAAAAGACUUGAUAAACAUGGUAAUGUAAUAGAAGAAAGGCAGGAUGGUAUUGGUGCUCCCAAGAUUGAAAAGCCUUUACAAAGACAUGGUGGGAGGCUUGAACACAAUGAGACAUAUUGUGGUUCAUGCUAUGGUGCGGAAGUGGAACCAAUUCCUGUCACUCAACUUGUAACGAAAACUGCUUUUGUUAUGUAGGAGUUCACAUAGUCGGGGCCUUAAUGAUUCCUUGAUAGAGAUUGCUGAUACCAGCUCAUUUAAGCCUCGAUAGAGUGCCCCUACCCUUACCUAUGUUUUCAGUUUCCCUGCGAUGUCAGUCGAGCAAAUGAUGACAGUGCAGUUUGACAUCGAUACCAACUCUUACACAUUGAAAUCUUGUCGGGAGACCAUGACUGCGGUCUCUAAUUUGUCCCGCCAAUAUAAAGCAGGACAAGCGAGGUGCAUCGGUUAAAUGCACAAUUCUCCCUCUAUCAACUUAUGAACCAAGAUGCCCGAAAGGAGAUUAGCAAAUUGAAAAAACAAAAUAAAGAGAUGAAAUGAUAGACAACCUCUGUGCCCCGAUUAGGAACUUCUCGGUGCUCUUCAUCUGAUGGCCAGCGGGGAGUAAUAUCUUUCGGAAGCUCUACAAAUGCUGAGGUAGAGUUUUCAAGGGCUUCCCAUGAGUAACGAUGCAAUGAGGUGGUGAAACUAUCUGUAAAAGGACGUCUGCCUGCAGCCUUUGCUAUCGGAAACACAGGUCGCCAAAAAUUGAGAACAAUGCUUACUUUCUAUUUGUCUUCUUUCUUUUUUUUUUUUUUUUUUGGCCUUUUUUUUCUUCUUCUAAGAGUUGGGAACCUAUAGCU